rnacentral:rRNA from 1 species
UACGUAGGGUGCAAGCGUUAAUCGGAAUUACUGGGCGUAAAGCGUGCGCAGGCGGUUUUGUAAGUCUGUCGUGAAAGCCCCGGGCUCAACCUGGGAAUUGCGAUGGAGACUGCAAGGCUUGAAUCUGGCAGAGGGGGGUAGAGUUCCACGUGUAGCAGUGAAAUGCGUAGAGAUGUGGAGGAACACCGAUGGCGAAGGCAGCCCCCUGGGUCAAGAUUGACGCUCAUGCACGAAAGCGUGGGGAGCAAACAGG